GACGAACGCUGGCGGCGUGCUUAACACAUGCAAGUCGAGCGAAUGGAUUAAGAGCUUGCUCUUAUGAAGUUAGCGGCGGACGGGUGAGUAACACGUGGGUAACCUGCCCAUAAGACUGGGAUAACUCCGGGAGACCGGGGCUAAUACCGGAUAACAUUUUGAACCGCAUGGUUCGAAAUUGAAAGGCGGCUUCGGCUGUCACUUAUGGAUGGACCCGCGUCGCAUUAGCUAGUUGGUGAGGUAACGGCUCACCAAGGCAACGAUGCGUAGCCGACCUGAGGGGGUGAUCGGCCACACUGGGACUGAGACACGGCCCAGACUCCUACGGGAGGCAGCAGUAGGGAAUCUUCCGCAAUGGACGAAAGUCUGACGGAGCAACGCCGCGUGAGUGAUGAAGGCUUUCGGGUCGUAAAACUCUGUUGUUAGGGAAGAACAAGUGCUAGUUGAAUAAGCUGGCACCUUGACGGUACCUAACCAGAAAGCCACGGCUAACUACGUGCCAGCCGCCGCCGUAA
rnacentral:rRNA from 1 species